rnacentral:rRNA from 1 species
GAUGAACGCUGGCGGCGUGCCUAAUACAUGCAAGUCGAGCGAACAGACGAGGAGCUUGCUCCUCUGACGUUAGCGGCGGACGGGUGAGUAACACGUGGAUAACCUACCUAUAAGACUGGGAUAACUUCGGGAAACCGGAGCUAAUACCGGAUAAUAUAUUGAACCGCAUGGUUCAAUAGUGAAAGACGGUUUUGCUGUCACUUAUAGAUGGAUCCGCGCCGCAUUAGCUAGUUGGUAAGGUAACGGCUUACCAAGGCAACGAUGCGUAGCCGACCUGAGAGGGAGAUCGGCCACACUGGAACUGAGACACGGUCCAGGCUCCUGCGGGAGGCAGCAGUAGGGAAUCUUACGCAAUGGGCGAAAGCCUGACGGAGCAACGCCGCGUGAGUGAUGAAGGUCUUCGGAUCGUAAAACUCUGUUAUUAGGGAAGAACAAAUGUGUAAGUAACUAUGCACGUCUUGACGGUACCUAAUCAGAAAGCCACGGCUAACUACGUG